rnacentral:lncRNA from 13 species
CAUAGAGGUCCAUUAUGUUCUGGUCCAUAGAGGUCCAGUAUGUUCUGGUCCAUAGAGGUCCAGUAUGUUCUGGUCCAUAGAGGUCAGAGUACGACCCUAACAUAGACUUAAUGUUCUGGUCCAUAGAGGUCAGAGUACGACCCUAACGUAGACUUAAUGUUCUAGUCCAUAGAGGUCAGAGUACGACCCUAACAUAGACUUAAUGUUCUGGUCCAUAGAGGUCCAGUAUGUUCUGGUCCAUAGAGGUCCAGUAUGUUCUGGUCCAUAGACCUCCAGUAUGUUCUGGUCCAUAGACCUCCAGUAUGUUCUGGUCCAUAGAGGUCCCACCAUA